rnacentral:tRNA from 2 species
GCGGCUGUAGCUUAAUGGUAAAGCCCCUGCCUUCCAAGCAGGUGACGUGGGUUCGAUUCCCAUCAGCCGCUCCA